UGCCACGGUCCAGCUGAAAACGUUGAUUCAUUCAAGAAGUGGAGUGUACGGUGAUUGGAGAAUUCAAAUCAAUUGCAAAGAGAUGGCACACGUGAAAGAAGCGCUGAAUCACUUGGCCUGGUCCAGCAGAGGCAGCAGCAACACGACCCAAAGCACGUCCAGGAGAUGUCACGAGUCCAGCACAGCAGCUUUUAGGUGCAGCUCUCGGUCCAGCAGGCUGGAGCAAGCACGUCACGGGCUUGGAUGCGCGUAAUGUGGGCUGAGUCACGCUCCAGCUUCAAUAAAGGUCCAGUAGAGGUGACGUUCCGCAAUAGGAUGAAGCACGUAAGGAGUAACGCAUCCAGCAUUGGAGAAAGGUGUGGCGGACAGCGAGAAGUGGAGUGGCGUCCAGCAGCCUUCACGGUCGAAGCAGCAAACGGCCCUUGAGUAGCUGACGCGUCCAGCAGCUUGGGAGUCCAAGGUCCAGCAACGGGAUGGAAGACUCACGGUCCAACAAGCAGAAGUUUUUAGGCUAUCAAUUAAGGAGCAACUGCAGAAGCGAAGUGUUAAUUUCAUUUGAUGUAGCUCCAAGCAGUGUGCACGGUGAUGAUUCAUGGAGAAAGGUGUGCACGGGAAUUAAUUAAAAGCUCAAGUCUUUUCUUUGCUGGAAGGAGACACGGUGCAUUUACAUUUUGUUUGCAAACGCUGAUUCAAUUGCAGGGAAUAUUAAUUGGUUUAUUUUCUAGCAAUGUUACGCACUUUUCAUUUAUAUUUUAUUUCAGCAAUGCAGAUCUUCUUUCUUUUUUAAAAAAAUGGUAGACGGAAUUUGAUGAAGCACACAGCUCACUUAUUUUACUUUAUUUAACUGUUACAAGUUUUUCUUUUUAGUGUCAAUAACCAUUGCAAUGUGUAUUUCCUGUCUUAGCUCAACGAUGCAUUUAAAUAGCAUUAGAAGUGUUUUUUUAUUUUUCUGCAUUUUCAAUUUCCUCACUUACUUUAGAGACCGUUCGGUCUCAAUGUAGGACCGUUCGGUCUUCAAGCUUUGUCCAUUUAUUUUAAUGUUUUCAAUUAUGUUUAGUUCUAUUUAAUUUCCAGUUUCAAUUCAGUUUGUUUCGAAUCACAAAAACACUUUCAAACCCCUCACUACGUGUUUGACCUAAGACUCGAACCACAUUUAGUCCUUGAGAGACGACCUAGGAGUCACUUCCUAGCACUGUACUGCAUUAUUUUAUAUGCACAUCAAAUUUGAUGGGCCGCGACGCCCGCAUCAAAUUUUGGCGCCGUUGCUGGGGACCAACAGUUCGGUCUUAGGUCUCUUUUUUGUGUUAGUGUGUUUUGUGUUUUGUCUUGUGUUGUGAGUGUGAUGUUCUGUUUUGUGUGUACGUUAUUGUGUGUGCGUGUCGCAUGUUUAAUUGUGUUGUGUUUUGUUUGUUUCGUAAUUUUUAGCAUUUCCUUUCUACCUUUUUUUUUUCUUUUUCCAUGUCUACCUAUUUUGGUUUUGUGAAUACUACUUCUUCUGUCUGUGCCUAUGACUAUGAUUCUCCUUCUGCAUGUUACUUUGACUAUGUUUCUCAUGCUGAUUUUUGUGUUGAGGAAUAUAUGACUCAUCCUCUAACUCCUGAGAGUGCUCCUUGGAGCCGGUUCCACUUGAUGAGGAGGAUGUUCGUUGUGGUUUCAACACUGAACUGAUAAAUUUGCUGCCUGAGUUUCAUGGUUUUGUAGGUGAAUGCCCAUAUAAACAUUUGGAGAAGUUCUAUCUCAUUUGCUCUGCAAUGAAACCUCCAGAUGUCCCGGAUGAUCACAUUUUCGUAAGAGCAUUUUCACACUCAUUACAAGGAGUAGCGAAGGAUUGGUGUUAUUGUCUUCCUCCAAGAUCCGUCACCAGUUGGGAAGAUCUUGAGCAUCAGUUUCUAAACGAAUUCUUCCCUAUGCAGUAUGGUUACAGCAACGAUCCUAGGUGGAAAGAUCCUAACCUGGGAUGGUAUGGUACUCCACAACAUCAAUAUCAAGAACCACCACUCCAGAAUACUUGUAUGCCUCCACCAGUCCAGGAGCUACAGCAGCUGCAGUCUUAUGAGCCUGCCCAAGCAACUCCUCAUCCUUCCACUACUUCUGAGCCUACAUUGAAGGAGUUGUUGUAUCAAAUGACCAUGCAGAACAUUCAGUUUCAACAAGAGAACAUGAAGUUUCAGCAAGAGAACAUGGAAUGUUCAGAUUCUUGAUGAUGUUAGUGUCAUUCACAUAGGAGAUGAGGACCACAGUCUUAUGCUCAUUGUGCCACCUACUUUCCCACCUUCAGAUGUCCCUACUCUGGCACUUGAGGAGACUUACACUGAUGAAGAUUUUAAGGAACAGGCAAGUAUAAGCAACAACUAUGAUCCAAGUAGACCAGCAUCAUCUACCACCACUCUACCAAUCUUUAGGGAAGUGUAGAUCCAGCUAUGGAAGACAUUUGCCUGCUAGAUCAAAUCUGGAGGAGGAAGCAAUUCUUCCUCAAAACUUCCUUGCUGGAUCCAAUGGUGGAAGACAUCUCCCUACAAGUCCAAAAUUGGCAACUGCCACCAUGACCAGGGGAGGUUUCUUUUUCCCUUCUCCCCCUUUCCCUACUUUUAUUGCACUUGUCCAUGAUCUGUUCAUUGUUUUGAUUUCUGAUCUUAUACUUAUGACACAUUGAGGACACUGUGUAGUUUAAGUGUGGUCUAUUAGGGGAGAUUCUGAUUUUUCUUCGUUAGUUUUUGUUUUCUAGGUUAAAUUUUUUUUCUUUUCUAGGUUAUUUUUGUAGACUUGACCUUCACUUCAUUGAUACUUUGCUUGAAAUCUUUGCUUUUCUUUGCUUGGGAAGAUGAUUAUGAUGUUUGAGAGGUUGAAUUGAUUGUGACACAAAUACCCUGUGUGAGAAUUUGAGCCACUUGAUGUUCUUUCUUGUGUGUGAUAUGUCUCUUGAUUGCUUGCUGUUGAGAGGGUCGUGAUGGACAAUUUUAUGAACACCAAAAUGUGAUGUCACAAACUUGUUUUACAAUCGGCAAGUAUGACCGAAUCGUUUCAAGUAAUAACUCGGUAAGACCAAGUAUCGUUCUCCCAAAGGACUCACGGCCUAGUUUAGUUAUGUGAUUCGUUGAUUAGCUAAGACUUAAGAACGAAAUAAUUGGAUUUUAUAUGAAAAAGACGAAAAUAAACAUGUAUGCAUGAGGGUGAUCAAUGGCUAAAGCAAAAAUACAAACACUUUCAAUGGAAUAAAUGAAUGAGUAUGUUGUUGGGGGUCAAUUUCAUCUUAUCUACUCUCAUAUAUUUUAGGAAUUUAACAUUCAAUUCAUCAUUGUCAAUGCCACUCUCUAAAUUACCUUUCAAAGAAGGUUUCUCCCUAAUUACGAGUUCAUACGAUUCCUAGCAUCCCUAAUAAUUAGUUUAUUUAGCACAGGAGCUUAAGGCAACCAAUAUACCUAUUGGGAGAAAUUCCCCAG